rnacentral:lncRNA from 1 species
AAAACCGGAGAUUUGGUUAACAAAAUAGUCAAAGUCACUCUUAUAGAAGUUUUGUUUUAUUUUUUGUUUAAAAUUUUUUUACCAUUUUGUAGCUGACAAGUACUGACAAUAAACUGCUAUAAGCAUGUGUAGAAAAAGGCUCACCUUGAGUAGUUAAGAGUAAGGAAAAGGAAUAGUGUGUAGCAUCGUCUUAGUGGUAAGACUUAAGUUGAUUUAGUAGCAAAUGGAAGUACUAGUGAACCACAUAGAUUUCAGAAGUAGGAGUAAAAGGUUAGAAGAUGUGUCAUUUUAAUCUUCUCUAGACUUUUUCUUAAUUUUUAGAAAUGUAAGUGGACUGAACAGAGGAAAACCAAAACACAGCUGGUCAAUAAUAAGUUAAAUUAAUUUGACAAACUGCC